CAGCAGCCGCGGGAAAACCGAGGGUGCAAGCGUUAAUAGGAUUUACUGGGCGUAAAGGGCGCGUAGGUGGUUAUUUAAGUGAGAUGUGGAAGCCCCGGGCUUAACCUGGGAACUGCAUCUUAUACUGGGUAACUGGAGUGCAGUAGAGGGUAGUGGAAUUUCCGGUGUAGCGGUGAAAUGCGUAGAUAUCGGAAGGAACACCAGUGGCGAAGGCGGCUACCUGGACUGAGACUGACACUGAGGCGCGAGAGCGUGGGGAGCAAACAGGAUUAGAGACCCCCGUAGUCCCUGUCUCUUAUAC
rnacentral:rRNA from 1 species